rnacentral:lncRNA from 1 species
UGGUUGCUUGCUGCCACAGUAACCUCAUCCUUCUUCUUCCCUUCUUUUCUUAGGGCUUACUGACUUCCUUUUAGCAAUUUCGUGUAAAUGCUUCCUUAUAUCAAAUAAUUAGGCCUCUCGCUGUGGCAAUGCAUGAGUUUCAUCGUAUGUUCUGUUAUGUGAAAAGCUGGUACAAAAGAAGAACAUUAUUUAAACAUCAACCUUUGAAAUGGCACAAGUUCACUUCCCUGUCAUUGUUGAGAAAUACACAUCCUUCUUCCUAAAAUACCUAAUCCAGCAGUUGUUACUUUGUGGGCUGGACCUUCAGACUCUGUCUGUAAAUUAUUCACACUUCCAGUUAUUUCCUUUCCACAUUCCAUGUUUUAGAUGACUCUGAUUG